GGGUGAGGGCACCCCUCUGAGUCCUUGACACCCCCCCGGGACCCCCUCCUCACCUUCACUUCUGCCAGCUUGGUGCCGCGGGCGCAGUCCCACACCGACAUCAUGUGCUCGUUGGAGUCGUCCACCACGCACAGGCCGGGCUUCACCAGCGCACGCAGUCGCUGUGGCGCAGGUAGUGGCGCUGGCGGCGGAGGGGGACGUGGAGGAGGACGACGACGCAGGCGAUGAAGUAAACCAGCUCGCCCGACGCCAGCACGUGCAGGUUGGAGCGGCUGUCCCGGCCCC